AACGAACGCUGGCGGCAGGCCUAACACAUGCAAGUCGAACGCUCCGCAAGGGGAGGUGGCGCACGGGUGAGUAACACGUGGGAACCUACCUUCUGGUACGGAACAACCAAGGGAAACUUUGGCUAAGACCGUAUACGACCUCCGGGUGAAAGAUUGAUCGCCGGAAGAGGGGCCCGCGUCCGAUUAGGUAGUUGGUGAGGUAACGGCUCACCAAGCCUUCGAUCGGUAGCUGGUCUGAGAGGAUGACCAGCCACACUGGGACUGAGACACGGCCCCAGACUCCUACGGGAGGCAGCAGUGGGGAAUAUUGGACAAUGGGCGCAAGCCUGAUCCAGCCAUGCCGCGUGAGUGAUGAAGGCCUU
rnacentral:rRNA from 1 species